UACGUAGGGGACAAGCGUUGUCCGGAUUUACUGGGCGUAAAGAGCGCGCAGGCGGUCGAUCAAGUCGAGUGUGAAAGCCCCCGGCUCAACUGGGGAGGGUCAUUCGAUACUGAUCGACUCGAAGGCAGGAGAGGGUAGUGGAAUUCCCGGUGUAGUGGUGAAAUGCGUAGAUAUCGGGAGGAACACCAGUGGCGAAAGCGACUUCCUGGACCAAUACUGACGCUCAUGUGCGAAAGCGUGGGGAGCAAACAGG
rnacentral:rRNA from 1 species